CGUGUAGGCGGCCGGUCAAGUCCGGUGUGAAAGCCCGGGGCUCACCCCCGGAAGUGCAUCGGAAACUAGCUGGCUUGGGCGCGAUAGAGGAGGGUGGAAUUCCUGGUGUAGCGGUGAAAUGCGUAGAUAUCAGGAGGAACACCGGCGGCGAAGGCGGCCCUCUGGGUCGUUGCUGACGCUGAGACGCGAAAGCGUGGGGAGCAAACAGGAUUAGAUACCCUGGUAGUCCACGCUGUAAACGAUGGGUACUAGGUGUUCGGGGUGUUGACCCCCUGAGUGCCGACGCUAACGCAUUAAGUACCCCGCCUGGGGACUACGGCCGCAAGGUUAAAA
rnacentral:rRNA from 1 species